GCGGCCCGAGGAGCGCGCGCCAUGCGGGCCAGCGGGUACCCGGCCGCCGCCGCCCUCGGCCAGGCCCGCGCCCCCGUCCAAGUGUCUGUUAUCCUCCCGGUCCAUGACGCUGAACUGUGGCUGGACGAGUGCUUGGGGUCUGUUUUGCAGCAGGACUUCGAAGGCUCCAUGGAGCUUUCCAUUUUUAAUGAUGCCAGUAAGGACAAGUCCAUGACUAUCAUUGAAAAAUGGAAAGAGAAGCUGGAAGGUUCCGGCAUCCUCGUGGUCAUUGGAGGGCACGAUUCUCCUUCUCCCCGAGGAGUCGGAUAUUCUAAAAAUCAAGCAAUAGCACAGAGCUCAGGGUCUUACCUUUGCUUUUUGGAUUCGGACGACGUGAUGAUGCCUCAGAGGGUGAGGCUGCAACACGCAGCUGCUGUGCGACACCCAACAAGUAUUAUCGGUUGCCAAGUGAGGAGGGAGCCCCCCAACUCCACCGAGCGAUACACGCGGUGGAUCAACCAGCUGGCGCCCAACCAGCUGCUCACCCAGGUGUUCACCUCCAAUGGCCCCACCGUGAUCAUGCCCACCUGGUUCUGCUCCCGAGCCUGGUUCUCCCACGUGGGCCCAUUUGACGAGGGCGGGCGGGGUGUCCCCGAGGACCUGCUGUUCUUCCACGAACACCUGAGGAAGGGCGGCGGGCUCGUCCGCGUGGACCAGAGCCUCGUCCUCUACCGCUACCACCCCGGCGCGGCCACACACUCCGUCCUCGAGACCACCAUCUGGACCCACCGUGUCCGCUUCCUGGAAGAGCGGGCCCUGCCCCACUGGGCAACCUUCACCAUCUGGAACGCGGGCCGGCAGGGCCGCCGACUCUACCGCAGCCUGACGGCAGGGUCACGGUGCAAGGUGGUCGCCUUCUGCGACGUGGACGAGAACAAGAUCAAGAAGGGCUUCUACUGCUAUGAGGACUCUCAGGAAAGGCCCAAGCCCCGGGUCCCAGUCCUGCACUUCCGAGCCGCACAGCCACCCUUUGUCAUCUGCGUGAAGCUGGACCUCACAGGGGGCGCAUUUGAAGACAAUCUGAGGUCGCUGCACCUGCAGGAGGGCCGGGAUUUCCUUCACUUCAGCUGACGGACCCAUGGCAGCUGCUCCCAGCUGUACUAGCUUCAGUCCAGCCGAGGCGAAUUGUUUUCUCUCAGCUCGAUGAGGAUCUCAUUCCAGUGUUAAGUCCACUGUUGCCGUUCAAGAGGGGCAGCUGCCCGGAGCACCCAGUCUCCCAGCAGUUCCGCUGCAACAUGUCCAGACGCACGAGGCUUCUUGCUGCUCUUCAGACCCACCCACCUCACUCCCACUGGGGCCACAGGUGCCCUUCUCUGCCCCUUUCGGGGGGACUCCUGACCACUCCCUCUACCAGGUGGCAGCCCAGCCCGACUUGCUUCAGACCACUGCUUUCCACGAUGUCCACCUCUGCUGUUGUCUGCUUCUGGCCACGUCGUCAGUCCUGAGGGGGGACUCCCCACAAAUCCGUCACCGGGACCCAGGUGGGCUCCAAAUGAAGGAGGAGGUUCCCAGCCACCAGGCGCCUGAUGAGAGCAGGUGGUGACCAGUAGGAUCUGACACGGCUGAAGGUGCGCAGGGGCGGCUGGACACUGCCGGCUUUGUUGGUUUUCCUCGGGUUGCAAAGUUAGACCAGCAAUGAAAGAAGAAUUGCUUCAUGAUACAGUAUCAUCAAUCAACGUGGUAAACUGGCCUGUCUCCAUGUCUGUCUCAGAGACCAUGUCUCUGGAAUCUUGGUGGUUUUUUAAAUUAUGCUAAAAACAGUUCAUUUUAUUCCUUCUCAAAAGCUCCUUGCUUGGUUUUCUCAGCCAAGGUCUAGGUGCUGCUCUGUGGACCCCGUCUGCUGCAAGGAUACAAGUGGGGCUUCCUGUGGCCGCCCUGCAGGAGAGCCUUCCAACCAGCGUGGCCUCACGUGGCCUGAGGCCGCCUGGCCGUCCAGGACCCCUCACCACAUGACAACGUCCACCAGCUACGGGGCCUCUGGCUAUUCUUUCAUUGAAAAUGGAAAACUCUCUACUUAUUUUCAAGAGGAGACGUGUUUUAAGGCUUAAAUGAAAUUAAAGUUAAAACCUCACGCAAGACUAACAUGGGCUUCCAAUCUCUGGGAAGGUCAGCAAUCCUGGCAUGUCCAGUGGCUCAACUGGAGCAGGAGAAACUCACUCACUUGGCAAAGGCAGCAGGAAAACACGUCUCAGGAUUGUACCAACAACACCUACCAUGGCCUCCAGCCGUGGACCCGUGGGCGCAUACGUCCCAGGAGGGGCAGUCUGUCCCGUGGCCCAGGUGCAGGAGUACUGUCCUGGGCCCAUGGCCGGACAACUUCACCUCAGAUGUUCUACCUGCCCGUCCACAUCUGUCCUGCAUCCAGACCUCAACCCGUGAAGCAGCAAGUGGAAGGGUGGGCAUGGUCCAGGAACCUGCCACACAAAGGCUCCCGCCUGACUCCUCAGCACUGAGACUGGCCACGUAGGUGCUCAAGUGGGGAACCUUUACACACAUCGGCCUCACUGGCCCCUGGACAGGCCAGCAUGAGUGCCAGCCCACGUGGACAAAAGCAGCCUGUCUUUGCUUCAGAAACCCUGAGUGUGUACCCCAUUCUGGACAAAUGAAAAAAAGGUUCAGACAAUGUGGUUCUUCUCCCGUCACCAGAAAACCGCUUCCUGGAGGCCACACGUCGGCAGAUCUGUGAAGCCACUGACCGUGCCCUGCUUCUGUCGAGGGUUUAAGCUGCCGCCACAAGUCUCCUGUGUGGCUGGAACUGGUCCUGGCGGGAUUCUGAGAACACGGGUCAGCUCUUUCUGACUGAAUGAAACCGCACGAGGGCGGGUGACAUGCGUGCGAUGGCCAUGCGCGCUGGGCACUAGAAUGGGGUGAGGAGGGAAGACGGCCCCCACCCGCGCUGCAAAAGCGACCCAGAGGCGGCGCUCGACGGCACCCACCCCCACCCAGAGGCAUGGCGCUUUCUCUGCCCCUGCAGCAUCUGACAUGUAACGUGAGUCGCUCAGAGCUUGUCAACGGCUACGAGCAAGCCCAACAAGGCCAUCGUGGACGUGGCGACAGGACAGCACACGGGAGGCUGCAACCGGCCUGUCCCGGGCCUGUUCCCCCUGGGGCCACCUCUCCCAGCGGGUCUCGGUGCAGGAGCCGGGGGAGCCUACAACCCCCUCUGGUUCCAGCUCCCCCACUGGCACCAGUGUCAGGCACAGGCAGAUAGAGAACUGCUCAGCAUGUGAUUUUAUAAGACAGACACAGGUUAGAGAUUAAGACAAAUGCACCAACAGCCCAGGUCACUGUGGCACAGGAUGCAUGGAAGGAAAUGCCACCUCCAGGUGACGAACUCCGGGUCCCUCACACGCACCAGCCAGACCGCCGCCGUCCAUCCAGGUCCUCCAUGCCGACCAUGCCCGGGCUCCUCCUCCCAGCCAGGCAGGCAGAGGCAAGGACUCAGCUUCCCGGACCGGCCUCAGCAGACACUGGGCUGCGGAGGACACAUGACAGGGUCAGGCCAGUCAGCGCUGUCUCCCCAGCCCUCCCUGGGUCGCACUUCCUGCAGGAAACUGCAUCUGUGCCGUUUCCCCGAACGUGCCAGGAGCCCCGUGGCCAACACCGCCUCUGGGCAGCAAGCAGGUGGGGAGGGUGACUAUACCGUCGCCCCAGCUUCAUCCAUCUGUGCGACAUUUUCCUAAUAAAAAUGCAGAAAGCACAUUUCCUCAGGAAGCCAGUGUUGUGUUUGGCCGUCACACAAGGAGAGGGGAGAGUUGACACUCAGCCUGCCAUCCCCGUCACCCCCAGUGUCACCUGGGGGCCGACCAGAGCUGCCCUCACCCUGCAUCUGAGGGGGGUCCUGUAGGGGCCCCAGAGAAGGGCCAGGCAAGGUGGACACUAGUACAGCAUGGUCGGGGGGAGGAAAGGGGGAAAAAAACGUCACCUCAGAAAUAACUUAGCCACAAGAAGAACAGAGUUAAGAGCACAGUGAAGAACUGAAGGACAAUGAAGAGAGAGGCGGCUGAACGGAAGGCAGGCCACAACCACCUGGGCCCUGGGAAGCGAGGGGCGCCCCAGCCAGAGCCCCCCGCCCGGUGCCGCCCGUCCUGACUGCCGUACGUCGGGAAGGAAUGCUGUCCUGAUGGGCGGUCACUAACAAACAGCAGGAAAACUGCAGGAAAUUAGCAGAAGGGGAAGUGAAAUGGUAAAAAUGUCGUUAACCAAUCCAAACAAAGAGAAGAAAGGAGCAAAGAGACAGGGUUGAAUAGAAAAUGGAAAGAUGGCAAACUAACCCAGUAAAUCCAAAAUCACACAUUAAAUGUAAGUGGACAAAACACUCCAACUACCAAAAACGGUUAAACUGGAUUAAAAAGAGAUGAGACCUAUCUACUGUUCAUAAGAAACACAUUUAAAUGUAGGAACACAGAAAUUGAAAGUGAAAUAAUUAAAAAAGAUAAACUACAUAAACACUAAUCAAAAACUCCGCUGUGGCUCUAUUAACGCCAGACAAAGGAGACUUCAACCCCUCCUGUGGUUUCCCUGAGGACGAGAACACGAACCAGGAGGAACUCUGCCCUGGACCUGCUGCUGCAGCAAACACCUUGUGCUCUGGUUACUUAGCUCCUGUUCCCCCAACAAGGCUGGCCUCCAACAAAAAAGUACAAAAUACAACAAAAGGCAAGAAAAAGCAGUCUGAAGAGACAGUGCAAAUGUAAGAACCAGACUCAGAAAUGGCAGAGACGUUGGAACUAUCAGACCAGGAAUUUGAAACAGCUGUGAUGAAUACGCCGCGGACCCUAGUGGACAAAGUGGCACCACGCAGGGACAGACAAUGUAAGCAGCGGUGGAAGGGCGGGAGACCACAAACACGGUAACUGAAACGGAUGCCUCCGACGGGCUUGUCCUAAGACCAGACGUGGCCAAGGAAACAAUCAGUGAACUUGAAGACAGGUCAACAGAAACUUCCCAAAAUGAAAGGCAAAGAGAAACAAAAAUGAAAAAAAAAAAGAAUAUCGAAAAACUGUGGGACAAUUAUAGAAAGAUGUGCAACAUCUCUGCUCCAAAAACCAUAAAACACUGAGGGGGUCCAUGCAUGGACACACCAUGUUCAUGGUCAGAAGACUCAGAGCAGAGAUGUCACUUCUCACCAAAUCGACCUUCAGGCUGCAGGCAACCUUGGCCAAACUCCUGAAGCACAAACUGACAAGUUGAUUCUACAGGUGGGGUGGGAACCCAACGGCCAGGAAGAGAAGACAAUCAGGAAGAAAAAAGGACCACAGGAUUGAGACAACUGGGCACUGUGACCCACUGUGAGACCUAAACCCAUCCCUGCAUCUCUAGGACUGAGACCUACAUCUGUAUCUGUAGGACAGGCUGCGCUGGCUCACAGAUGGACAGAGAGACCCAGAGGACAGACAGUCCAAGAGUAGAGCCACAUGUGUGGCCUGACGACACGACAUAGCGAGAAGGAAGCUGGGUCAGCUAGAUCGUGAGUCCAAACGUAAAAGGUAAAACAGUAAAGCUUUUAGAAAAAAACAGAGAAUGUCAACCCUGGAGGAGAUCAAGAUACCCCAAACAGGACCACAUUAGGUCUAAGGACAAGAAGGCCAUCCCUGGAGGAGGGGACAUUUGCAGGACGUGCGUCCAGAACAAGGUCCCUGAAGACAAAGUAUAAAAAGACGGACAACCCGGAGAGAACAUGAGAGAUCUGACACGUGACGAAAGACAAUGUCCGAAUGGCUCAGAUCUCAGAAAAGGUGGUCACACUCCCGUCACCAGGGAAACCAGCGGGCCCACAUCCUGGAGCUGCCACGGUGGCCCUGAGCACACAUGCUGCCAGGGAGCCCCGGUCACUUUGGAAUCUGCUUGUCAGCAUUUCCCACCGUGAGUCCUCUGCCAGGUGAGUCCACCGGAAAUGGGAACCGGUGACCCCUGCAGCCUGAGGCUCACGUCGGGGGGUGUUCAGGGCAGACACCCGGGUGCGUGGAGACCUGGGACCACGCACUACAACCGCCACGCACUUCUGCACGGACGUCCUUCCUCAACAGGAAGCUCAGGGACAGCCUCUCCAGAGCCAGGGUUCAAACCCAAGGCCAGAGGGACACAGCCGAUGGGAACAGGAGGAGGGCACGCCCCCUCCCCAGGACCACAGUCCGUGCUGCUGCGACCCACUCCCGCUCCUGCAGGACCCACAGACUGAAGAGAAACCGAAUUCUGAUUCUCUGCCAAGGACACACAAAACGGUCUCAAGUCUCCCAGUGACACAACCUGGAAGAACAGCUUGUGGCCCUCGAUCUCAGAAAACCGCAGCUACAACGCACACACCACACUUGCCGUGGAGGACGGCAACUUCAGCAGACACCAGCAGGCCCUGGGAGGCCCUGGAGGUGACAGAGUCCCAAGUGGGAUGGGUGUCCCGGGGUCAACCGACACGGCGGAAGGCUGCUAUGCUGCUCUGAGGGCGAGAGAGGCCAGGGCGCUCGGCAGAGGGCUGGUCCUGGGUGCCGUGCUCCACAGGACACACGUGAGACGUGCCUGGCUGGAG